rnacentral:rRNA from 2 species
UUUGAAUCCUGGCUCAGGACGAAACGCUGGGCGGCGUGCCUAAUACAUGCAAGUCGAGCGGACAGAAGGGAGCUUGCUCCCCGGAUGUUAGCGGCGGACGGGUGAGUAACACGUGGGUAACCUGCCUGUAAGACUGGGAUAACUCCGGGAAACCGGAGCUAAUACCGGAUAGUUCCUUGAACCGCAUGGUUCAAGGAUGAAAGACGGUUUCGGCUGUCACUUACAGAUGGACCCGCGGCGCAUUAGCUAGUUGGUGGGGUAAUGGCUCACCAAGGCGACGAUGCGUAGCCGACCUGAGAGGGUGAUCGGCCACACUGGGACUGAGACACGGCCCAGACUCCUACGGGAGGCAGCAGUAGGGAAUCUUCCGCAAUGGACGAAAGUCUGACGGAGCAACGCCGCGUGAGUGAUGAAGGUUUUCGGAUCGUAAAGCUCUGUUGUUAGGGAAGAACAAGUGCGAGAGUAACUGCUCGCACCUUGACGGUACCUAACCAGAAAGCCACGGCUAACUACGUGCCAGCAGCCGCGGUAAUACGUAGGUGGCAAGCGUUGUCCGGAAUUAUUGGGCGUAAAGGGCUAGCAGGCGGUUUCUUAAGUCUGAUGUGAAAGCCCCCGGCUCAACCGGGGAGGGUCAUUGGAAACUGGGAAACUUGAGUGCAGAAGAGGAGAGUGGAAUUCCACGUGUAGCGGUGAAAUGCGUAGAGAUGUGGAGGAACACCAGUGGCGAAGGCGACUCUCUGGUCUGUAACUGACGCUGAGGAGCGAAAGCGUGGGGAGCGAACAGGAUUAGAUACCCUGGUAGUCCACGCCGUAAACGAUGAGUGGCUAAGUGUUAGGGGGUUUCCGCCCCUUAGUGCUGCAG